rnacentral:tRNA from 1 species
GCCUCGGUGGUGGAACAGGUAGACACACGGGACUUAAAAUCCCGCGGGGUAACACCCGUGCCGGUUCGAUUCCGGCCCGAGGCACCA